rnacentral:rRNA from 1 species
CAGUAGCCGCGGUAAUACGGAGGGUGCAAGCGUUAAUCGGAAUUACUGGGCGUAAAGCGUGCGUAGGCGGUUCGUUAAGUCUGUUGUGAAAGCCCCGGGCUCAACCUGGGAAUGGCAAUGGAUACUGGCGAGCUAGAGUGUGUCAGAGGAUGGUGGAAUUCCCGGUGUAGCGGUGAAAUGCGUAGAGAUCGGGAGGAACAUCAGUGGCGAAGGCAGCCAUCUGGGACAACACUGACGCUGAGGCACGAAAGCGUGGGGAGCAAACAGGAUUAGAUACCCCUGUAGUCCCUGUCUCUUAUAA